GAUGAACGCUAGCUACAGGCUUAACACAUGCAAGUCGAGGGGAAACGAUAGAGAAAGCUUGCUUUUUCUAGGCGUCGACCGGCGCACGGGUGAGUAACGCGUAUCCAACCUGCCCACCACUUGGGGAUAACCUUUCGAAAGUAAGACUAAUACCCAAUGAUAUCUCAAUAAGACAUCUGAAUGAGAUUAAAGAUUUAUCGGUGAUGGUUGGGGAUGGGUUUGAUUAGCUUGUUGGCGAGGUAACGGCCCACCAAGGCGACGACCAGUAGGGGUUCUGAGAGGAAGGUCACCCACAUUGGACAUGGGACUCGGUCCAAACUCCUACGGGAGGCAGCAGUUAGGAAUAUUGGUCAAUGGGCGAGAGCCUGAACCAGCCAAGUAUCGUGCAGGAGGACGGCCCUAUGGGUUGUAAACUGCUUUUAUAAGGGAAUAAAGUGAGCCUCGUGAGGCUUUUUGCAUGUACUUUAUGAAUAAGGACCGGCUAAUUCCGUGCCAGCAGCCGCCGUAA
rnacentral:rRNA from 1 species